rnacentral:rRNA from 1 species
UACGUAGGGUGCAAGCGUUGUUCGGAAUUACUGGGCGUAAAGGGCGCGUAGGCGGUUUAGCAAGUCAGAUGUGAAAGCCCGAAGCUUAACUUCGGAAGUGCAUUUGAAACUGCUAGACUUGAGUAAAGCAGGGGUUGGCGGAAUACCCAGUGUAGAGGUGAAAUUCGUAGAUAUUGGGUAGAACACCGGUGGCGAAGGCGGCCAACUGGACUUUAACUGACGCUGAGGCGCGAAAGCGUGGGGAGCAAACAGG